UAAACAACGGAAAUUUCUUCGUCACGGUUCUGGAGGCUGGAAGCCCAAGAUCUACGUGCUGACAUUUCCAGCGUCUGGUGAGCUCUAAACCCAAUGACAAGUGUCCUCAAAAGAGAGAGGAGAGGAGAAGACAGACACAGAGGAGAAGGAUGAAGACAGAGACGGAGAUUGGAGUUAGGCACCAGCAAGCCAAGGGACAUCUGGAGCCACCGGCCGCUGGAAGAGGCAAGAAAGGAUUACUCCCUGGAGCCUCUGGAGGAGGUACAGCUCUGCUGACACCUUGAUUGAGAACUCCUGGCUUCCAGAACAGUGAGAAAAUAAAUUUCUGUGUUUUAAGCCUUCAA